rnacentral:sRNA from 1 species
UCCUAGCCCUGAUAGCAGUGGAAAUCCUUUUCUGUUUUUUUUCUUUUAAAAAAUAGAAAAGAUUGAAACGAAUAGCAGGAUUUAGC